GGUGAGAUGGCCGAGCGGUCUAAGGCGCCACGCCAAGGUCCUCCUUAAUCAACAUCUGUUACCAUACACCAGAUUCCGUGGUCCGAAAGGGCGUGGGUUCGAAUCCCACUCUCAUCA